CCGAGCACGCCGCGUGAGCGAAGAAGGCCUUCGGGUUGUAAAGCUCAGUCACCCGGGAAGAGAGACCAAGGGAGGGAAUGCCCUUGGAGAGACGGUACCGGGAGAGGAAGCCCCGGCUAACUACGUGCCAGCAGCCGCGGUAAUACGUAGGGGGCAAGCGUUGUCCGGAAUCACUGGGCGUAAAGCGUGCGUAGGCGGUUUGUUAAGUCUGAAGUGAAAGGCCAUGGCUCAACCAUGGGAAUGCUUUGGAAACUGGCAGACUUGAGUACUGGAGAGGCAAGGGGAAUUCCACGUGUAGCGGUGAAAUGCGUAGAGAUGUGGAGGAAUACCAGUGGCGAAGGCGCCUUGCUGGACAGUGACUGACGCUGAGGCACGAAAGCGUGGGGAGCAAACAGGAUUAGAUACCCUGGUAGUCCACGCCGUAAACGAUGAGUGCUAGGUGUUGGAGGUUCAGACCUUCAGUGCCGAAGGAAACCCAAUAAGCACUCCGCCUGGGGAGUACGGUCGCAAGACUGAAACUCAAAGGAAUUGACGGGGGCCCGCACAAGCAGUGGAGCAUGUGGUUUAAUUCGAAGCAACGCGAAGAACCUUACCAGGGCUUGACAUCCCUCUGACCGGUACAGAGAUGUGCCUUCCCUUCGGGGCAGAGGAGACAGGUGGUGCAUGGUUGUCGUCAGCUCGUGUCGUGAGAUGUUGGGUUAAGUCCCGCAACGAGCGCAACCCUUGACCUGUGUUACCAGCACGUAAUGGUGGGGACUCACAGGUGACUGCCGGCGUAAGUCGGAGGAAGGUGGGGAUGACGUCAAAUCAUCAUGCCCUUUAUGUCCUGGGCGACACACGUGCUACAAUGGGCGGAACAACGGGAAGCGAGACCGCGAGGUG
rnacentral:rRNA from 1 species